rnacentral:rRNA from 1 species
CCCCUGACUUCGGUUGGACGGGUGAGCGGCGGACGGGUUAGUAACGCGUGGGAACAUACCCAGCUCUGCGGAAUAGCCACUGGAAACGGUGAGUAAUACCGCAUACGCCCUUCGGGGGAAAGAUUUAUCGGUGAAGGAUUGGCCCGCGUUAGAUUAGAUAGUUGGUGGGGUAACGGCCUACCAAGUCUACGAUCUAUAGCUGGUUUUAGAGGAUGAUC